ACGAACGCUGGCGGCGUGCCUAAUACAUGCAAGUCGAGCGAAUGGAUGGGAGCUUGCUCCCUGAAGUUAGCGGCGGACGGGUGAGUAACACGUGGGCAACCUGCCUGUAAGACUGGGAUAACUUCGGGAAACCGGAGCUAAUACCGGAUACGUUCUUUCCUCGCAUGAGGAAAGAUGGAAAGACGGUUUCGGCUGUCACUUACAGAUGGGCCCGCGGCGCAUUAGCUAGUUGGUGAGGUAAUGGCUCACCAAGGCCACGAUGCGUAGCCG
rnacentral:rRNA from 1 species